GGAUUGUGGCUCAGCGGUAGAGCACUCGCCUAGCACUCACCAGCAAGACCUGGGUUCGAGCCUCAGCACCA
rnacentral:tRNA from 1 species